rnacentral:lncRNA from 1 species
GGACCCAGGAGGCUACCAUGGCACGGAAAUGAUGAGCGUGAUACUCUCAGGGAAAAAAAAAAACUGGAAAGUCCUCCAUGAACUCAAGCAUAGUGAAAGGUAUUGUAUAUAAAGUAAAAGCAAUGUUCCCGGAUGACCAGCUGUGAAUGACCUUGCUAUUAUUCUCAGAGAACAAUCAUCGACAACUACUACUCUGAAGGACUUAUGAUAAAAAAUUUCAUUCAUAUCCAGAGAAGGAAUUGAUUGCGUAUGAUACAGACUGAAGCCUUCUCAUUUUCUAUUUCUCUUUUUUUUAAACUUCAUUUUUCUUGAGGGUUUUAUUUUCAUUAGGGUGGAAGAGCUAUUUUUUUUUUCAUAAUUUGACUUUUAUGGAAAUGUUUUGCAUAAUUUCACAAGCAGUUUCUUAAUUGUAGGUGUACAUAAGGAGAUAACCUAGAAUGCAAAAAUUUUUUAAAACAAAUGUUAAAAAAUGUUUUUUUUUUAAUGUAACUGGGGAAAAAUAUAAAAUAAAACAACAAAAAAUAUAAAUUGAAAAAUAAAUAAAGUUUUUAAAAUGCCCCCCAAAAUCAUAGAAUACACUCCCAGAAAAACAGUAAUUAACAAUUGAUUGAUAAUACAUGCUCUUGGCCAUUUUUGUACUUUAUUCAUGAGUUCUUUUAACUUUGUUGGUGUUGCACUGAUGGCAUUAAGACAGCAGGUGGUUAAUUGUAGGAACUGAACAACAUUGACUCCAUCUUGUGAAAAUUCUGGAGCUAGCUCAAUUCCCUUUCUGUUUAAUUAUGGGUCUAGUCCAACUUCUGUCCUGUAAGAAAACCUUAUUCAUUAUUGUUCUGUAAGAAAUGACCAACAGGAUGAUUUCAGAAAGGCCUGGAGAGACUUAAAUGAACUGAUGCUGAGUGAAAUGAGCAGGACCAGGAGAUCAUUAUAUACCUCAACAACAAUACUAUAUGUUGAUCAGUUCUGAUGGACCUGGCCAUCUUCAGAAAUGAGAUGAACCAAAUCAGUUCCAAUAGAGCAGUAAUGAACUGAACCAGCUAUGCCCAGCAAAAGAACUCUGGAAGAUGACUAUGAACCAAUGAACCACUACAUAGAAUUCUCAAUCCCUCUAUUUUUGUCCGCCUGCAUUUUUGAUUUCCUUCACAGGCUAAUUGUACACUAUUUCAACGUCCAAUUCUUUUUGUACAGCAAAAUAACUGUUUGGACAUGUAUACAUAUAUUGUAUUUAACUUAUACUUUAACAUAUUUAACAUGUAUUGAUCAACCUGCCAUCUGGGGGAAAGGUUGGGGGCAAGAAGGGUAAAAACUGGAAUAAAAAGUUUGGCAAUUGUCAAUGCUGUAAAGUUACCCAUGCAUAUAACUUGUAAAUAAAAAGCUAUUAAAAAAAAAAAAAAAAAAAAAAAAAAACCUUAUUCAAUUGUGGAAAUUGGGGGGAGGGGGAACCUUAUUGUAUUUUUUGAACCUGCCUGGCUAGGAAACUGGACCACCUCUAACCAAGGACCUAGACUAUGCUGACAGAAACUCCAAAAGUCGGAACCAAAGAUUAAUGCAAGAAGUCUUCUCACAAUUGUACAUCUCAAGAAACCCGGGUAUAUCUUAUCUGAAAACUAGCCUCAAAUAGAUCAAUCAGUAUUGUUUCCAUGUUCCUCUGAUUGUUUACAGAUAUUGAGGGAAGUGGGACAACUCUCUUAAUGAAUUCAGGAAAUCACACUUGUUCACUCUCCCCCUCCCGACUUGUAAAGUCUCUAAUUUUUCCUAUAAUUAAAAAUCAGUCUGUCUCUUCCUAUAUUUGGGGUCCAGGGGUAAGCUGAGGAGAUCUAGCCUUGGUUUGUUGGACAAUUGCCAUGUGUUGCUUAAUAAAUC